AUACAUCAUUAAACUGAAACCAGCUGCUCUACUUAAGAUAGACUAACUUAGGGUUUUCUGCUGUGCGUGCUGUCAUCCAUGAAGGGCAAUUUGCUGUGGAAUGUUUACAAAGAACCAGGCAGCCUUCCUUCCAGGUGCAGGUCCCUGCUUGUGGCUAUAGAGCCAAAGUCCAGUGUCCAUCAUGAGCCUGGCUCAGGCCACACAGGCCAUCCUCUCUUAUUUCCCAGCUAGAUUCUGUGCCCUUCCAGACAACAAGCCCUGUCCCAGCCUUGCUCCACUGCAGUGGCUAUGGUGAUGGGCAGCCAGGGUGAGCACAGGAGUGUGGGGCAAGGGCCCUGAGCA
rnacentral:lncRNA from 1 species